GAAUUCGAAGAAAGGUAUAUUGUGAAAGAAAAAGCAGUUCCUGCCAAUUUUUUGAAAAUCGCACUAUCUUUUGUGAUUCUUACCCCACUUACUGUAAACAUAAUGUAUAUUACGGAGUUCCAACGUUUGACGAUACUCACAAAGCAUUUUUUCCUUCAUGGAAAGAUGCUAUGGAACAUGCCCCGACAGAGGAUAUGAUUGGUUAUUGUCGAAAAAACAUAGAAAAUGAUUAUGACGAAAACAAAUGCUCAGUUCGGCGGUUUCCCAUGGUUUCGAAGAGACGGAAUCCCACAUUUUGCUACACUAUUGAGUCCCAAAUAAAUGACCCAUUUUCACCUGAUGUUAUUUAUACAAACACGUUCG